rnacentral:ribozyme from 1 species
UAAUACAUUUCGCAUUAUUCAUAUCCAAAAGAACGUAUCAAAGCAUGCCACUAAGCAAAAACAAAAACGAAUGUAUCAAUCGCUCGCGCUUUCUACCUUUUUUUUUUUUUUUUUAUUU